rnacentral:rRNA from 1 species
UACGAAGGGGGCGAGCGUUGUUCGGAAUCACUGGGCGUAAAGGGCGCGUAGGCGGCCCUCCUUGUCGCGUGUGAAAGCCCCGGGCUCAACCUGGGAACGGCGCGCGAGACGGGGGGGCUGGAGUUCGGGAGAGGAGCGUGGAAUUCCCGGUGUAGCGGUGAAAUGCGCAGAUAUCAGGAAGAAUAUCCGUGGCGAAGGCGGCUCUCUGGUACGGCACUGACGCUGAGACGCGAAAGCGUGGGGAGCGAACAGG